AUUGAACGCUGGCGGCAGGCCUAACACAUGCAAGUCGAGCGGAUGAAGGGAGCUUGCUCCUGGAUUCAGCGGAGGACGGGAGAGUAAUGCCUAGGAAUCUGCCUGGUAGUGGGGGCUAACGUCCGGAAACGGGCGCUAAUACCGCAUACGUCCUGAGGGAGAUAGUGGGGGAUCUUCGGACCUCACGCUAUCAGAUGAGACUUGGUCGGAUUAGCUAGUUGGUGGGGUAAAGGCCUACCAAGGCGACGAUCCGUAACUGGUCUGAGAGGAUGAUCUGUCACACUGGAACUGAGACACGGCCCAGACUCCUACGGGAGGCAGCAGUGGGGAAUAUUGGACAAUGGGCGAAAGCCUGAUCCAGCCAUGCCGCGUGUGUGAAGAAGGUCUUCGGAUUGUAAAGCACUUUAAGUUGGGAAGAAGGGCAGGAAGUUAAUACCUUGCUGUUUUGACGGUACCAACAGAGUAAGCACCGGCUAACUUCGUG
rnacentral:rRNA from 1 species